rnacentral:lncRNA from 1 species
UAAUUAAAAAUUGGCUCUUCAUCUUGCAUUGAAAAUGUUUUACUUGUUGAUGGGCCUUAAACAUACUCUAAUAAUUUUAAAGCCAAUUAUGUGAUAAAAUUAUAAGGUUAUAUUUGAUAAAAAUAAAUGCAUAAUUACUCUUGCUCUUAAUGAUAAAAUUUAAUUUAUUGCAAUCCGAGACAUGAAAAUGUAUACACCUUUACUUCGAUAGUCUAGUUAGUCAAGAGGUUAAAUGUCUUUGCUGUAAUAAAUGAAAAUAACUGUUAUGGCAAUCGAGAGUAGGACAUGCUAGCAUUGGAUUUACUUCAUAAUUGAAUAGCAUGAUGUAGUUAAAGUUUACCUAAAAUCAAGUUUUGUUAAAGAUAAAAUUUGUGAUGCAUGGUCCAACUAAGGGAAGCAACAUAAAACAUCUUUUUCAAAGAAGAAAUUAUAUUUCGACAUCCUAGACCCUUCAACUCUGCAUUGGAUUGGUUUGGUCCCAGUAGGUUGCAAGUCUUGUUGAAAAUUUUUACGCAUAUUGUAAUUGUUGAUGAUUUUUCCGUUUUAAAUAUAGGUAUUUUUUCCUCACGCACUAAUAUGAAGCACACUUGCAUUCGCAAAAUUUUUGUCAAAAAGCACAAAAUGAAAUAGGUUGCACAUCACUAAUAUUUCAUAGUGAUAGAGGUAGAGAAUUUUGAUAAUCAGAUAUUGAAAAAUAUUGCGAUGAAGUCACGUUUUUCACACAACUAUUCUCUGGGCACCUAGAAAACCUUCAACAAAAUGGAGUUGUUUUGCAACUAAAAAUAUCUCUCAAGAAUGGCUAGAACCAUGUUAAUGAACAUAAGUUACACCCAAGUAUGUUUGGGCUGAAACUGUAAUACAGCUUGUUAUACUUAUAAAUCGUGUAGUCAUUAGAUCAAAACGUGAAAAGACUCCUUACGAGCUUUGGAAAGGAAGACAUCCAAUAUUGGUUAUUUUCAAAGUAAUUUGUUGUUAAAUGCUUUAUUCUAAAUGAAAAGAUAAUUUGGGUAAAUUUGAUGCUAAUUUGAUAAGGCAUAUUUCUUUUGGAUAUCUACUAAUAGCAAGCUUAUAGAGUCUAUACAAAAAGAGACUUUAACUAUUGAAGAGUCCAUCUGUUUGCCAUUUGAUGAGUUGAUUCACUUUUCAACCUAGACUUGGGAUAAUGAUAUGAUAUUAAAUGCUACAGAAAAUAAUGAUAAUAAAUAUUAAUUCAAAAUCAAUCUCUCAGACUCUAAUAAAGAAGUAAAGUAAUAAAAAAAUGAAGUCUUAAUCUUGGAGCAUAUCAACAAUUUCUAAUCUUUGGAGAAUUGUUAAAGAUCACCCCAUUGAUCAAAUUCUAUGGUGACCCCUCACAAGGUGUAAUUACAACGGUGUGUUUUUUGUUUGUUUUUCACUUAGAAAUGGUGUGUAAUAACAUGGCUUUUUGUUUCAGAAAUGAGCCCUAAGAAUAUUGAAGAACUGAACUGAUGAGUUUUUGGGUUAAGGGCCAUGGAAGAAGAGCUUAACCAAUUUGAGAGUAACAAUGUUUGGAUAUUGGUUCCUAUACCUACACUCAGUCCAGUUAUUGGAACAAAAUGGAUUUUUUCGUAAUAAAAAGGAUGAAAAUGGCAUUAGCAUUAGAAAUACAGCUAGAUUAGUAGCCAAGGUUUCACAACCAGAGAAGGAAUGACUAUGAAGAAACUUUGCUCCCGUACUCGCUUGAAGCUAUAAAAUGCUAUUAGCUUUUCUUCCUAUAAAGAUUUUAAAAUUAAUUUCAAAUGGUGUUAAAAGUGCAUUUUUUAAAUGGGUGUCAUUUCUGAAGAAGUUUUUGUUGAAACCAACCACCCUGUUUUGAAAAUCAACGAAUUUUCCAAAUCAUGUUUUCAAUGGACCAAAGUUUUUUUAUGGUUUUUGAAACAGCCCAAGAGCAUGGUAGAUGAAAAACUAGUGGAUUUCUUUUGGAAAAAGGUUUUUACCAACAGAGGAAAAAUUGACACUACCCGUAUAUUUACCAAACCAAAAGUUAUGAUUUACUUAUUGACCAAAUAUAUUUUGAUGAUAUUAGUUUUUUGGGUCCAACAAAUGAAACAUGUGUAGUGAUUUUCAAAAAUUAUGCAAAAAGAAUUUGAAAUGAGCAGAUGGGUGAACUAAAUUCUGUCUUGGGUUUUCAUUAAGCAACUAAAAAUGGAAAUCUUCAUCAACUACUCUAAAGAUUAAAAGAUCUUAUCAAGAAUUCCUGGUAUAGAAAAUUUCAAAAUUUAUGCAACUCAUGAAUUCAACAACUAACCUCGAUAAAGAUUAAAAUGGAAAAAAUGUUGAUAUUAACAAUAUAGAGGAAUGAUUGGUGUUUACUAUAUUUAACGGGCAUGUAGGCCAGAUAUCAUGUUUAGUGUAAUGCUUAUGAUGCUAUGAUUUCCAAUCAUUCCAAAAGAAUCACAUUUAUUGUCCGGUUAAAGAAUUUUUUCGAUAUUACUUGGCACAAUAGAUCUAGGAUUAUGGUAUCCUAAAUUCACUUCAUUAGAUUUAGUAAGUUAUUCAGAUGCAAGAUUUUUGUAGGGUGCAAAAUUGUCGUAAAAUACAAUGGUCACUUUCACUUUCUAGGACCCUCACUCUUUCUUGGUAGCAAGAAGCAAACUGCAGUUGCUCUUUCCAACUGCUGAAGCAGAAAUAUAUUGCUGCAUGGGCAGUUGUUUUUGCUCAAGUUCUUUAGAUGAAGCACAACGUGAAGAUUUUUUACAUUAAAAGUUUGAUCACAUACCUAUUAGAUGUGAUAAUACUAUGCUAUAAAUAUUCUAAAAAAUCCUAUUCUUUCACUCACGAACAACAUAGUGAAAUUAGACAUCUCUUUUUCGUGAUCAAAUGUUCACAAAGGAGAUUGUAAAACUAAGUUUAUAAAGUACUAAUUUUCAAUGGGCUGACAUCUUCACAAAACCACUUCAAGAGGAAUCGUUCUUUCUGCACCCUUCUGUCCGAGAAACUUGGUAUGGGGAGACCUACAGAUAUUGCCUAAUAUUUCAGUUAUUUAUUUAUUUAUAAUAAAUAACUUUACUAUUUCUCAAAUCAAAUAACCUUGUUUUAAAGUUUGGGGAGAAAAAAUCCUAAAAUUUUUCUUGACUUCAGCCAGAGACUCUGCCUGUUGCUCCCGAAGACUGUUUGUGUUCAUUCCAACUCCCUGAAUAUUUUCUUUCCCAAAUCAUUUGCAAUAGUCGUUACCAGUUUUUCUUCAGCUCUUAUCUCCCUGCUAAAGAAACCUCUAUUCCUUCUCGUUGCAACGCAAAAGUGAGCUUCCUUAGCUCCUUGAACUUCAUUCCUCGAACUUGCAGACGUCGAGCCAUAUUUAAACAGAAGAAGCACACUGAAUACUCAAGUGCCAUUAUUCAUUAAUAGCUUCGUCAUCAGUCCUAUCCGCUAAUAACUUUUCAAAUCUUGUGGAUAAUGAUCCCUCUAAGCUAACUGAUGCAACACUGCAUUCAUCCCAGCAUCACAAGGCAUUAUCAUGACGGAUCUUUUUGAGAUAAGAAUAAUGAACACCCGAAUUUCUGAUUUGUACCUUUAGGCACAGCAUUUAGAUCAAAAAUUAUUUUGAGAAGAAGAAGCCAUUUUUUUUUAAAACUAAGGAAAGAAAACUGGAAUUCUUCUUCAAAGAACCAGGAAGGGAGAAAGAAGCAGAGAACUAUUUUUGGAUCUAGGAAAAGAUUGUUUUCGGACAAAAAUAUGGCCUCAAAGUCGUCUUUUGAGCACACAGCCGCACGAAAACCACUGACAAAUAAGUUUCAAUUGGCGAUUUUUAUUUAUUUAUUUAUUUAUUUUUCACAUGUGUCAUCACAUGCGUCACUUCCCCUAUGCCCCUGUCAAUCUCAUCUAUAAUUCCUUGUCUUCCUUUCUUGCCAGGCACAAUUUCUGUUCUAAAUCCUUCAUACUCUGAAAGCUAAAUCCUUUUUCUAUGUUCAAGCCUACAUCAUUUCUAAAAGAAAGAAUGUAGCAUCGCAACCUAUUCACAGACAGUCCCUAAUUCUAAAAGCAAGAAUAUCAACAUCACAACAACUUGAUUCACAAAAACCAGAACAAGAAAGACUAUUCUUGAUCAAUUUUCAUCUAGAAGCAAGAUUAUCUUGAUCAAUGUUUCUAAAUAAGUAUCUUUCUCUUCUUAUCAUCAUGAAUUUUUCCCCAUAAUAAUAACUAUGACAGAAGAGAGAAAACAACAACGAUAUAGGUGUCCUACUCAGUAUUUUCCUGAUUGUUUGCCUCACCUCCUCCUGGAUUCAAUGUUCAUAUUUAGCAAACUUUCAAUCAUAUUUAUCGUUCGAUAUCACUUCAUCAUGAAGGGGGAGCAUCUUCGUAGGGGACUUUUUAACAUUAUUGCCUUUUUGUUGAUGUCAAAAGGGAGAAAUAAGAUAAUACAAAAAUUUUGUUAUAUUCCCAUACAGUACAAAGCUGAAUCAUAAAAUGCCCAUUAUUCUUAGUGAUUUACAUUACUGCUUUGAUCAGUACUAGUUAUUAUUACAAUGUUGCUUAAAUUUUUAUAUCAUAAUUUGUCAUCAUCAAAAGGGGGAGAUUGCUAACCCUUAUGGCGUCAAUAUCCGAUUUAUGUUGGCAAAUAUUUUGAUGAUAACAAAUUCUAUAUUAUUACUCUAAUGUAUGUUAAUUCAAUUAUGAUAGUGCCAAGAAAUAUUCAAGCACAUCUUCUCAAGGAGCAAAAAUAAUCAAAAUACAUUUGUGACUGUAAAGUAAGAAGACUUCAAUACUGCAGUCUCAAGAAGAAGAACUUUCAUUAGGGUAUUUUUUGUAAAGCUCUUUUAUGGUGACAUUCUUGAGGCUCUAAAUGACUUAAUAUCCUUCAUUGCAUUUUAAGAAUACCAAAAUGCAUUAAAAUUAAAGUUCUUAAAAAUGUUGCUAGCAAUAAUUCUUAUCUUUUGAAUUUAAUUAACAAUUUUAAAAAAUGGGUUAGUAAUAAUUUUUGAAUUUUGAAAUUUGAUUUCAAAGUUUGAAAUUGGCUACAUACAAUUUUCUGACUUUGAAAC